AUUGAACGCUGGCGGCAUGCUUUACACAUGCAAGUCGAACGGUAACAGGCCUUCGGGUGCUGACGGGUGGCGAACGGGUGAGUAAUGCAUCGGAACGUACCCAGAGGUGGGGGAUAACGCAGCGAAAGCUGUGCUAAUACCGCAUGUGAUCUGAGGAUGAAAGCGGGGGACCGAGCAGCAAUGUUUGGCCUCGCGCCUUUGGAGCGGCCGAUGUCGGAUUAGCUAGUUGGUGGGGUAAAGGCCUACCAAGGCGACGAUCCGUAGCUGGUCUGAGAGGACGACCAGCCACACUGGGACUGAGACACGGCCCAGACUCCUACGGGAGGCAGCAGUGGGGAAUUUUGGACAAUGGGCGCAAGCCUGAUCCAGCAAUGCCGCGUGCGGGAAGAAGGCCUUCGGGUUGUAAACCGCUUUUGGCAGGAACGAAACGGUGUCCGCUAAUACCGGGCGCUAAUGACGGUACCUGCAGAAUAAGCACCGGCUAACUACGUG
rnacentral:rRNA from 1 species